rnacentral:lncRNA from 1 species
UCACCCAGGUGCAAGCCCAGAGGCAGUCUAUACCCCAACUCAACUGGCUGGUCCUCAAUGCUGCCUGCUUCCGUGCCCAACUUAGAACUACACAUCUGCUGCCUCUUGGUAACAUGUCAUUAUAAGGCUUCUUCAUCAGCCCUAACCCUGCCAACCACUCCUGCCUCACUGAAUGUGCCAACGGAUUGCUCAGCUCCAACCAAGGAAAAGAAGAAGGAAGUUGGAUACUUUAUACCCUCUACAUUGUCCAUUAGCAACACAACCUAGAGCUAGGAUGGAGAAAGAAAAUGCCAAAAUGCUAAUGAAAAAUGUUCAGAUGUAUCACAUAUUAAGCAUACAUGAUCUCAAAUAUUUUGCCUGAUUUAUGCUAUGCAUGCUAUUUUCCAUGUUGUGUAGGCUCUGAUGCUAGUCUACAUUUACAGAAAUCUCCAUCAGCUGUACAAAUGGCAAUUUAAAUACAUUUAACUAUGUGCUAAUAAUCUCAUAAUACAAUUUAUCAUGUAUGAUUGGCAGAAGAAAUUAUUUGGGGCAAAAGCUAUGAUUGUAUUGUUGUAAGUUAUUAUGAAUGCUGGGCAGUGUAGGGCAUGGCACUUGCUACCACCUCCCAGAAAUGUGUAAGGGCUGUUGAAGGUGCCUUGUUCUUCUUUCUUCUUCAAUAUAAGCAAAGCUAUUUAUAUCAUAAAGCUGAAACUUGAAAUUCCA